rnacentral:rRNA from 1 species
CGCUGGCGGCGUGCCUAACACAUGCAAGUCGAACGAGAAAGUGGAGCAAUCCAUGAGUAAAGUGGCGGCGGGUGAGUAACACGUGACUAACCUACCCUUGAGUGGGGGAUAACUUCGGGAAACCGAGGCUAAUACCGCAUAAUACCUUCGGGUCAAAAGGAGUAAUUCGCUUAAGGAGGGGGGUCGCGGCUGAUUAGCUAGUUGGUAGGGUAAUGGCCUACCAAGGCAAUGAUCAGUAUCCGGCCUGAGAGGGCGCACGGACACACUGGAACUGAAACACGGUCCAGACUCCUACGGGAGGCAGCAGUGGGGAAUUUUGCACAAUGGGGGAAACCCUGAUGCAGCAACGCCGCGUGGAGGAUGAAGUCCCUUGGGAUGUAAACUCCUUUCGACCGGGACGAUAAUGACGGUACCGGUGGAAGAAGCCCCGGCUAACUCUGUGCCAGCAGCCGCGGUAAUACAGAGGGGGCAAGCGUUGUUCGGAAUUAUUGGGCGUAAAGGGUGCGUAGGCGGUGCGGUAAGUCUUCUGUGAAAUCUCCGGGCUCAACUCGGAGUCUGCAGGAGAAACUGCCGUGCUUGAGUAUGGGAGAGGUGAGUGGAAUUCCUGGUGUAGCGGUGAAAUGCGUA